rnacentral:tRNA from 1 species
GGACAUAUAGCUCAGUUGGUUAGAGCACAGCACUCAUAAUGCUGGGGUCGCUAGUUCGAAUCUAGCUAUGUCCACCA